GACGAACGCUGGCGGCGUGCUUAACACAUGCAAGUCGAACGAAGAGCGAUGGAAGCUUGCUUCUAUCAAUCUUAGUGGCGAACGGGUGAGUAACGCGUAAUCAACCUGCCCUUCAGAGGGGGACAACAGUUGGAAACGACUGCUAAUACCGCAUACGAUCCAAUCUCGGCAUCGAGGAUGGAUGAAAGGUGGCCUCUAUUUAUAAGCUAUCACUGAAGGAGGGGAUUGCGUCUGAUUAGCUAGUUGGAGGGGUAACGGCCCACCAAGGCGAUGAUCAGUAGCCGGUCUGAGAGGAUGAACGGCCACAUUGGGACUGAGACACGGCCCAGACUCCUACGGGAGGCAGCAGUGGGGAACCUUCCGCAAUGGACGAAAGUCUGACGGAGCAACGCCGCGUGAGUGAUGACGGCCUUCGGGUUGUAAAGCUCUGUUAAUCGGGACGAAAGGUCCUCUUGCGAAUAGUUAGAGGAAUUGACGGUACCGGAAUAGAAAGCCACGGCUAACUACGUG
rnacentral:rRNA from 1 species